GACGAACGCUGGCGGCGUGCUUAACACAUGCAAGUCGAACGUGAUUUUUGUGGAAAUUCUUUCGGGAAUGGAAAUGAAAUGAAAGUGGCGAACGGGUGAGUAACACGUGAGCAACCUACCUUACACAGGGGGAUAGCCGUUGGAAACGACGAUUAAUACCGCAUGAGACCACAGAAUCGCAUGAUAUAGGGGUCAAAGAUUUAUCGGUGUAAGAAGGGCUCGCGUCUGAUUAGCUAGUUGGAAGGGUAAAGGCCUACCAAGGCGACGAUCAGUAGCCGGUCUGAGAGGAUGAACGGCCACAUUGGAACUGAGACACGGUCCAAACUCCUACGGGAGGCAGCAGUGGGGAAUAUUGCACAAUGGGGGGAACCCUGAUGCAGCGACGCCGCGUGAGCGAAGAAGGUUUUCGAAUCGUAAAGCUCUGUCCUAUGAGAAGAUAAUGA
rnacentral:rRNA from 1 species